AUACGGAGGGUGCGAGCGUUACUCGGAGUCACUGGGCGUAAAGCGUCCGUAGGCGGUCGGGUAAGUCGGGUGUGAAAGCCCCGGGCUCAACCUGGGAAGUGCACCCGAUACUGCUCGACUCGAGUGCGGUAGAGGAUGGCGGAAUUCCCGGUGUAGCGGUGAAAUGCGUAGAGAUCGGGAGGAACACCAGUGGCGAAGGCGGCCAUCUGGCCCGCAACUGACGCUGAGGGACGAAAGCGUGGGGAGCAAACAGGAUUAGAAACCCUAGUAGUCC
rnacentral:rRNA from 1 species